rnacentral:ncRNA from 1 species
UCGGUCCCGGUUCACGUCCACACGCGGGCGACCCGGGCC